UAUGUGCACUGAGCGCUGAGUGAGCUGAGCCACCAUGAGGACAGCAGCCACGGUUUGCUGCUCUGCGUGAGCCACAAUGGGGAGGUGGGAGGGCCAUGUCUCGAAAUGCUGGGAGCAGAAAGAACUGAUGAAGGAGUGUGCAGAAUCUCUGACUGUGCUCAUCAGAGCCCAGAGUCCCCAGGAGCUCCCCUGAAUCCUCACUGCUACCAGCCCACUUAGGCAGGGGCCCACAAGCCA
rnacentral:lncRNA from 1 species